rnacentral:lncRNA from 1 species
GCUUCUCGCUGGAGUGCGCACCGAGCGGCAGUGACUUCGCCGCUGCUGUAGUUCCCCGGCUGGAUGCGGUGACUGGUGCCAGUGCUCAGGCGCCCGCUGCCCUUGACCUCCCGCCCCGCGAGCCCUAACUCAGCGCAGGAGGACCGGCUGCCGCCGCCGCCGCCGCCAGAGCCUUGGCUGCCCAGUUGCCAGUCCUACCACGGUCGGAGGUAACCUUCCUGGCUCCAGUCACAUGGCCAGAUAAGGUGGUGUGUGUGGGCAUGAAUUAUGUGGACCACUGCAAAGAACAGAACGUGCCCGUGCCCAAGGAGCCCAUCAUCUUCAGCAAGUUUGCCAGCUCCAUCGUGGGGCCCUAUGAUGAGGUGGUCCUCCCACCACAGAGCCAGAUCCACACAACUUAAAGAUCUGCUGUCGAGUGAAUGGGGAAGUGGUCCAGAGCAGCAACACCAACCAGAUGGUAUUCAAGACAGAGGACCUGAUAGCCUGGGUGUCCCAGUGAGUGACAGGGGCUAUCCUGCCAGCCCCGCUCCACCUGCCACACAUGUGGAGGCUGACCUGAGCCCUCCACCUUUGGCUGUGGCCACCUCAGCCAGCCCCUGGUCUCACCGGGUCCUUUUGCUUUGCUCCAGGUUUGUUACCUUUUACCCAGGGGAUGUCAUCCUGACUGGGACCCCCCCACCUCCACCCAGGUGUCGGUGUAUUCAGGAAACCUCCUGUCUUUCUCAAGGUCUCUGAAGGUCCAGACAGCACUGAUGGCGAGCUUUGGGUCCGCACACUCUGGAAAGAAGAGAGAAGUGAAGGCUCUAGGGGGCAGCAGCCACCAGCAAACACCACUGCCUGCAGGAGCCUGGGCUGACUGGUUGGGACUCACCGAAGAUCCCUUCUUCCUGGGCGGUGGCCUGCAGGAACUGGAACAGCUGCUCUGUGUAGCCCAACUCUGCAGAAGAGAGAAGACCUAGACCUGGCACCCAGCACAGACACAGCCUGCCUCGAGGACUGCAAGGGAACAAGGGCCUCACCAGUAUCGGGCAGCUGGCCCUGGCGGAGGAAGGCGGCAGCCUGUGCAAAGGCCUUGAGCAGCGGGCUGAGCAGGCGGCAGAGGAAAAGAAAGAAAUCUGGGCAGUGUGACUGCUGGCUGAGCUGGAGGGGACAGGCCGGGGUGAGUGCAGCUCCCCACCGCCUCCCUACCACCUCCCUCCAGGGGCAGCUUUUUGAAACACACCCUGAAGUACCGGCCGUCAGCCUCUCCGAAGUCAUCACUGUCACUAUCAGUAAAGUCCCCACUCGGUUUCCACAGCA